rnacentral:rRNA from 1 species
AUUGAACGCUGGCGGCAUGCUUUACACAUGCAAGUCGAACGGCAGCGGGGUAGUGCUUGCACUACUGCCGGCGAGUGGCGAACGGGUGAGUAAUAUAUCGGAACGUACCGAGUAAUGGGGGAUAACCAAUCGAAAGAUUGGCUAAUACCGCAUACGUCCUAAGGGAGAAAGCGGGGGAUCGCAAGACCUCGCGUUAUUCGAGCGGCCGAUAACUGAUUAGCUAGUUGGUGGGGUAAAGGCCUACCAAGGCGACGAUCAGUAGCGGGUCUGAGAGGACGAUCCGCCACACUGGGACUGAGACACGGCCCAGACUCCUACGGGAGGCAGCAGUGGGGAAUUUUGGACAAUGGGGGCAACCCUGAUCCAGCCAUGCCGCGUGUAUGAAGAAGGCCUUCGGGUUGUAAAGUACUUUUGUUAGGGAAGAAAAGGGAAGUGCCAAUACCACUUUUUGCUGACGGUACCUAAAGAAUAAGCACCGGCUAACUACGUGCCAGCAGCCGCGGUAAUACGUAGGGUGCGAGCGUUAAUCGGAAUUACUGGGCGUAAAGCGAGCGCAGACGGUUACUUAAGCAGGAUGUGAAAUCCCCGGGCUUAACCUGGGAACUGCGUUCUGAACUGGGUAGCUAGAGUAUGUCAGAGGGGGGUAGAAUUCCACGUGUAGCAGUGAAAUGCGUAGAGAUGUGGAGGAAUACCGAUGGCGAAGGCAGCCCCCUGGGAUGAUACUGACGUUCAUGCUCGAAAGCGUGGGUAGCAAACAGG